GGAUCGUAAAGCACUUUCGCCAGGGAUGAUAAUGACAGUACCUGGUAAAGAAACCCCGGCUAACUCCGUGCCAGCAGCCGCGGUAAUACGGAGGGGGUUAGCGUUGUUCAGAAUUACUGGGCGUAAAGCGUACGUAGGCGGAUCAGAAAGUAGGGGGUGAAAUCCCAGGGCUCAACCCUGGAACUGCCUCCUAAACUCCUGGUCUUGAGUUCGAGAGAGGUGAGUGGAAUUCCAAGUGUAGAGGUGAAAUUCGUAGAUAUUUGGAGGAACACCAGUGGCGAAGGCGGCUCACUGGCUCGAUACUGACGCUGAGGUACGAAAGUGUGGGGAGCAAACAGGAUUAGAUACCC
rnacentral:rRNA from 1 species